AUACGGAGGGUGCAAGCGUUAUUCGGAAUCACUGGGCGUAAAGGACGCGUAGGCGGGUUUGUAAGUCAGGUGUGAAGUCCUACAGCUCAACUGUAGAACUGCACUUGAAACUACAGACCUAGAGUAUGGAAGGGGCAGAUGGAAUUAGUGGUGUAGGGGUAAAAUCCGUAGAUAUCACUAGGAAUACCGAAAGCGAAGGCGAUCUGCUGGGACAUUACUGACGCUGAGGCGUGAAAGCGUGGGGAGCAAACAGGAUUAGAAACCCUAGUAGUCC
rnacentral:rRNA from 1 species